UUGAUCUCAAAUCAGGUAGGACUACCCGCUGAACUUAAGCAUAUCAAUAAGCGGAGGAAAAGAAACUAACAAGGAUUCCCCUAGUAACUGCGAGUGAAGCGGGAAGAGCUCAAAUUUAAAAUCUGGCGUGCCUCUGGUCGUCCGAGUUGUAGUCUGGAGAAGCGUCUUCCGUGUUGGACCGUGUAUAAGUCUCUUGGAACAGGGCGUCAUAGAGGGUGAGAAUCCCGUCUUUGACACGGACUACCAAUGCUAUGUGAUGCGCUCUCAAAGAGUCGAGUUGUUUGGGAAUGCAGCUCAAAAUGGGUGGUAAAUUCCAUCUAAAGCUAAAUAUAGGCGAGAGACCGAUAGCGAACAAGUACCGUGAGGGAAAGAUGAAA
rnacentral:rRNA from 1 species